rnacentral:rRNA from 1 species
UGGGGAAUCUUUGGACAAUGGGGGCGAACCCUGAUCCAGCCAUGCCGCGUGAGUGAUGAAGGCCUUAGGGUCGUAAAGCUCUUUCGCCUGUGAAGAUAAUGACGGUAGCAGGUAAAGAAACCCCGGCUAACUCCGUGCCAGCAGCCGCGGUAAUACGGAGGGGGUUAGCGUUGUUCGGAAUUACUGGGCGUAAAGCGCACGUAGGCGGACCAGAAAGUUGGGGGUGAAAUCCCGGGGGCUCAACCCCGGAACUGCCUCCAAAACUAUUGGUCUAGAGUUCGAGAGAGGUGAGUGGAAUUCCAAGUGUAGAGGUGAAAUUCGUAGAUAUUUGGAGGAACACCAGUGGCGAAGGCGGCUCACUGGCUCGAUACUGACGCUGAGGUGCGAAAGUGUGGGGAGCAAACAGGAUUAGAUACCCUGGUAGUCCACACCGUAAAACGAUGAAUGCCAGUCGUCGGGUAGCAUGCUAUUCGGUGACACACCUAACGGAUUAAGCAUUCCGCCUGGGGAGUACGGUCGCAAGAUUAAAA